UACGUAGGGGGCUAGCGUUGUCCGGAAUCAUUGGGCGUAAAGCGCGUGUAGGCGGUCCGGUAAGUCCGCUGUGAAAGUCGGGGGCUCAACCCUCGGAUGCCGGUGGAUACUGUCGGGCUUGAGUACGGAAGAGGCGAGUGGAAUUCCUGGUGUAGCGGUGAAAUGCGCAGAUAUCAGGAGGAACACCAAUUGCGAAGGCAGCUCGCUGGGACGUUACUGACACUGAGGAGCGAAAGCGUGGGUAGCAAACAGG
rnacentral:rRNA from 1 species